rnacentral:rRNA from 1 species
UACGUAGGGGGCAAGCGUUGUCCGGAUUUAUUGGGCGUAAAGAGCGUGUAGGCGGCCAGGUAGGUCUGCUGUGAAAACUCGAGGCUCAACCUCGAGAUGUCGGCGGAAACCAUCUGGCUAGAGUCCGGAAGAGGAAAGUGGAAUUCCCGGUGUAGCGGUGAAAUGCGCAGAUAUCGGGAAGAACACCCGUGGCGAAAGCACUCUGCUGGGCCGACACUGACACUGAGAGACGAAAGCUAGGGGAGCAAAUGGG